rnacentral:rRNA from 1 species
CCUACGGGAGACAGCAGUAGGGAAUAUUGCUCAAUGGGGGAAACCCUGAAGCAGCAACGCCGCGUGGAGGAUGAAGGCUUUCGGAUUGUAAACUCCUUUUGUUAGAGAAGAUAAUGACGGUAUCUAACGAAUAAGCACCGGCUAACUCCGUGCCAGCAGCCGUGGUAAUACGGAGGGUGCAAGCGUUACUCGGAAUCACUGGGCGUAAGGAGCUCGUAGGCGGGUUAGCAAGUCAGAUGUGAAAUCCUAUGGCUUAACCAUAGAACUGCAUUUGAAACUGUUAUUCUAGAGUAUGGGAGAGGUAGGUGGAAUUCUUGGUGUAGGGGUAAAAUCCGUAGAGAUCAAGAGGAAUACUCAUUGCGAAGGCGACCUGCUAGAACAUAACUGACGCUGAUGCGCGAAAGCGUGGGGAGCAAACAGGAUUAGAUACCCCUGUAGUC